rnacentral:rRNA from 1 species
UGAGUUUGAUCCUGGCUCAGAAUGAACGCUAGCGAUAAGCUUAACACAUGCAAGUUGAAUGUUGUCGUACAACAUGGCGUACGGGUGAGUAAGGCGUAAGAAUCUACCAAAAAAUUGUGGGUCAAUCCUCAAUAUCUCGUGGACGAGUAAAGAUAUCUGGUAUCGUUUUUUGAUGAGCUUACGUAAGAUUAGAUAGUUGGUAAGGUAAAAGCUUACCAAGUCGAUGAUCUUUCAUUGGUCUUAGCGGACGACCAAUCACAUCGGGACUGAGAGACGGCCCGAACUCUUGAUGGAGGCAGCAGUGAGGAAUCUUGGACACUGGGCGCAAGCCUGAUCCAGCUAUAUCGCGUGGGUGACGAAGGUUAUAUUGAUUGUAAAACCCUUUCAUUGAAAAAAAACGGUGUACCGUUUUUUGGAGACUUUGACAUGAAUCAAAGAAGAAGCUCCGGCAAAUUCUGUGCCAGCAGCCGCGGUAAGACAGGAGGAGCGAGUGUUAUUCGAAUUAAUUGGGCGUAAAGGGCAUGUAGGUGGAGAGAUGUAGUUGUUUGUGAAAGUCCAAAGGGUUUCUUUGGGUGUGCAUUCAAGACGGUUUCUUCUCUUUGAGGGUGUAAGAGGAAAAUAGAAUUUCCAGAGGAGAGGUUAAAUUCUUAGAUUUUGGAAGGAAUACCUAAUGCGAAGGCAAUUUUCUGGUGCACUCCUGACACUGAGGUGCGAAAGCGCGGGGAGCGAACAGGAUUAGAUACCCUGGUAGUCCGCGCCUUAAACGAUGCUGAUUCCUUUUUGGAAGACAAAAAAAACGUGGGUGUCGCCAAUAAGUAACACCCACACACAAACCCACUUGCACAAUCUCAGACCCACCUUCUCCGGGAAAAGAGGGCUGCGUUGAUCAGGUCUCCAAUGAGAUAGUUCAGUUUGGUAGAACCUCGGACUCAUAAAUCGAUGGUCGGGGGUUCGAAUCCCCCUCUCAUUAGCGACCAAACAAAUUCUAAAUACCAGUUUUUUGUGGAUGCUUUGGUUCAAAAGAAGAAGGACGUUGUACAAAACGAAACGUUAUACCUAGAGUGCACUCGGUGAGGUAUAAAUUUCCUCCGUGGGAAACCACUGGCUUUUAUUUAACUGGGUGAAUUGAAACAUCUAAGUAACCCAAGGAAAAGAAAUCAACCGAGAUUCCGUA